UGGUUUGCAGAGAACAGCAUUCAGUUUAGUUUCACUUUGCAAGAUAAGCUUCAGGUUGUGUUCGUGUGCGUCAGUGACCACAAAACCACACCUACCACACCUACACAGUAAAGUUUAUACAUAGAAAUAGUGCCUGUGCAUCUGUAUUAGGAAAGUAUACAUUAAAGCUUUCAACAAGUA